AUUGAACGCUGGCGGCGUGCUUAACACAUGCAAGUCGUGCGGUAACAGGCGUAGCAAUACGUGCUGACGAGCGGCGAACGGGUGCGUAAUACAUGGGAAUCUGCCCUUUAGUGGGGAAUAACCCGGCGAAAGCCGGGCUAAUGCCGCAUAAGAUCUUCGGAUGAAAGCGGGGGAUCGUAAGACCUCGCGCUGAUGGAUGAGCCCAUGCCGGAUUAGCAGUUGGUGAGGUAACGGCUCACCAAGGCGACGAUCCGUAGCUGGUCUGAGAGGACGGCCAGCCACACUGGGACUGAGACACGGCCCAGACUCCUACGGGAGGCAGCAGUGGGGAAUAUUGGACAAUGGGGGAAACCCUGAUCCAGCGACGCCGCGUGUGUGAAGAAGGCCUGCGGGUUGUAAAGCAC
rnacentral:rRNA from 1 species